rnacentral:rRNA from 1 species
GACGAACGCUGGCGGCGUGCUUAACACAUGCAAGUCGAGCGGUAAGGCCCUUCGGGGUACACGAGCGGCGAACGGGUGAGUAACACGUGGGUGACCUGCCCUCCACUUCGGGAUAAGCCUGGGAAACUGGGUCUAAUACCGGAUAGGACGCCUCGGUGCAUGCCGGGGUGUGGAAAGUUUUUUCGGUGGGGGAUGGGCCCGCGGUCUAUCAGCUUGUUGGGGGGGUGAUUGCCUACCAAGGCGACGACGGAUAGCCGGCCUGAGAGGGUGAUCGGCCACACUGGGACUGAGACACGGCCCAGACUCCUACGGGAGGCAGCAGUGGGGAAUCUUGCGCAAUGGGCGGAAGCCUGACGCAGCAACGCCGCGUGAGGGAUGACGGCCUUCGGGUUGUAAACCUCUUUCAGUACCGACGAAGCGAAAGUGACGGUAGGUACAGAAGAAGGACCGGCCAACUACGUGCCAGCCGCCGCAGUAACAC